rnacentral:lncRNA from 12 species
GUAUGUGCAGGUGUUUGGCAGGCUUCUUACCCAUCAGAUCCACAUAAACUCUUCCCCGCUCUUCCUCCAUGGCAUUAAUAUCCAUCCCAUUCCUGACUUCCACCCUACAGGUGAGGAAACUCUUCUCUAAUCUUUUUGUAUUCUAUCUAUUUGUUUUCUUUUUAUUUAUUAUUUUAUACAUUUAUUUUAUUUAUUAUUUUCUUUUUAUUUAUUAUAUAAUAAAAAAACAACAACUUUGCUACAUGUACUGCGUUAAGCUAACUGUGAAUUGUUGUAGCACUUGCAUAUCUUUGCUCUCUUGUUGAUUUUGCUUCCGUUGUCCAAGUUAAUAGUUGAUGAACCAUUACUGCGAGCUCUUUUAAGCAAACUAUCAAAAAUUUAAUACUAUUUUCCUCUGGGUUUGUUUGUUUGUUUUCAGUGUGUCAGCUGUUUAUCAGAGUGUAUCAAGACACACAGACAGUAUACACAUCAGGAGUGCAGUAAGACACCAGAUAUUAUAUAAAUACAACACGAAAGCCGUUUUGUAACGUGCUGGACGUAUUAUAUGUAUCAUCAUGUUUAUCCAUGUGAUUAUACAGUAUUCGUAAUAUGUGUAUAUUUAGUAGUGCUUGUGUAUAACUCUCAGGCAGGUUGCUGUAAAUCAGACAGACAGAGUGUGUUUUGUUCUGGAACCCCCACAGAUGCUCAAAGGCGAUUUCAUGAUUGCGUGUUAUCAUAAAAAUGAUUCCAUGAGGACUCAUGAGACAGUGUUUCUUGUGCAGUUCCACACUGGUGCUCUAUGUGGAGAGCAACUUUCCUUGCAGAAAGCAGACCUUGAUCAUGCAAACAUAGGUACACAAAGUGUUUUUGGUCAAAUCUUUGCACUUGAAGUGUCCCAAAAGGUUUUGGAGGUUUUCCCAUUUGCAAAAUAUCAAACCAAAUAAUGUUUAUUUUGUAUGUAGCACAAAAACUUUUAUCUUUUCAUAUAAAUAAAUUGACUUAAAGUAUUUGAACUGUAAAUCUGGUAGACAAAUGUUAUUGGAAAAUGUUCAUGGUUAAUAAUAAUAACAAAAUGUCAUAAACAGCAAUUACUGAAACUUUAAUUUUAUUUUAAAAUUAAAAAAAGUAUAAAAAUUAACACAAAAUAGAAAUAAAAAGUAUAAUAGUUUUCAGUGAUAUUACAAUAAAACUGAAAGUGGACUGAAUACAUUAAAGCAAUAUGAUCAGACUUUUUUUUUUUAAACAUGAAUGUUCUACAAGGUAAUUCUUCUAAGGGUUAUAAGGCAUAAGCUCCCUUGUUAUGUAAUGUUGUGUUUUAUAUAGUUAAAUAAUGGGGAAAAUACAAAGCAUCUGUGAAAUAAGCGAAUUGUUUUCCAGGAUUGAUGCCAGAAAUAUGUGCAUAAUUUUGCAUCCACAUUAUUGUUUUUGUUUUAUUGUAGAAAUAAAAACUGUCUUUGACAUGUGUUUUCCUUCUACAAUGGAAAGAAACUGAUUUCAUACAUCCUCUAAAAAGCAGUUGUUUUCAGAUGACAUUUGAUAUUUUGUAUGUAAUGUUGUUAUAUAUACUUUUUGGGCCAACAUACAUUUGUACUUGUUUAUUUUUAGUACAGGUUUGUGUUUACUAGUAUGUGAGUGUGUGUGCGUGACUGAGCAUGUGAGCAAGUGCUGAAUGUUUUUGGUAAAUAAUAACAGACAAGACACACAGUGACACAAGCAGAUCGGAGAACACUUAACCCUUUACACAAACACUUAAUUUUCGUCCUUACGCAACUGGAAACCUUACACAGUCAACCGAACUUUUGGAUGGAUAGAAGCAAAAA